rnacentral:lncRNA from 1 species
CCUGGCCUUGUCAUCAUCUGUUUAAGUCCUGUGAUUUACUCUUCACCCCUCCUCUGCUCUAGCCUCCUUUUUGCCUGUAACACACAACAGUCAGCUCUUCUAGACAGAAUAUUUUUGUUCACUAUUCAUGUUUUGUAGUCUUGUAGACAUGGACCAACUCAUAGGUUUCCUGAAACAGCUUGUUUCUUUUUAUUUGUUUCUUUUCUUUUCUUCUUUUUUUUUUUUUUUUUUUGUUUUCAGACAAAGUUUCGCUCCAAUCACCUAGGCUGGAGUGCAGUGGCACGAUCUCAGCUCACUGCAGCCUCCACCUCCCGGGUUCAAGUGAUUCUCCGGGCUCAGCCCCCAGAGUAGCCAGAGCUUUUGGUGUGCACCUCCAUGCCUGGCUAAUUUUUUUGUGUUUUCAGUAGAGACAGGGUUUCACCAUGUUGGCCAGGCUGGUCUCUAACCGCUGACCUCAGAUGAUCCACCCACCUUGGCCUCCCAAAAUGCUGAGGUUACAGGUGUGAGCCACCACGCCCAGCCCUGAAACAACUUUUAAUAGCAGAGGCAUUUGAUUUUGGUCAUUGUUUUUAAAAUGUGACUCAUCAGCCAGCCUUGCUUGAGCACUUUUCCCGUGUUCUUGUCAUUACUGAUUGCUGGCUUUAGGACUUCAGUCUUUCCUUGUCUCAGGUUCCCUGUGGUGGCCAUCUUGCUCUCUGGGAUUUUUGAGAGCCCAAGACUUCUUUGUCUCUUGAAGGUAUCAACUGGUGACCCUGAGACCUUGAACUUGCCAGAGCUACAGACUCUACUCUUGAAGGCGGGAAGCAGGCAUGUCCUAUUCAUCUCUGUGUCCGUCUCCGCAAAGUGGUUCCCACAGAGCAGAUGCUCAAAUGAAGUAUUUUAAGCAAACCCUGAACUCCAGAAGAUGGUAAGCUCCUCAAAGGUAGGGAUGGGUUUCUAUUUAUGUUACUUACUGAAUGAAUAAGAGAAUGGGUAGAUGAAUGACUAGGUCAGUAGGUCAGGGACAGGCCCAGAACUGCUGAAAUGGGCAACGAAUACAUAACCAGAAGGAAUUGGCACGCUCCCGAUCUCAGCCUUCCUCCCUGCCUCUCUUUCAACCUAACAUUUAAAUAUUUGUUAUCAGAUUACUUAAAAUAAUUACAUAAAGUCACUGCCUCUAUUUAUUCCCCUUCUGUUUACUCCAUGACUGCCUCCACUUGAACUGACCUCACUGGGACCACUGAUGACCUUUCUGUCACUGAACCCAAUGUGCCUAGUUCUCUUCUCUUCUCUAGCAUUGCCAGUGUUCGGCACCAUCAGCCUUGUCUUCCGCGGAACACUAAGCAAUCUUGGCUUCCGCCAACCUCCC